UGCUGCUGCUGCUGCUGCUGCUGCUGCUGCUGCUGCUGCUGCUGCUCUUACACCAGCAGCAGCAGCAGCAGCAGCAGCAGCAGCAGCAUCAUCAAAU
rnacentral:pre_miRNA from 1 species